rnacentral:rRNA from 1 species
UGAAUAUUAAAUUGCCGCAAUUACUGUGCUAAGGUAGCAUAAUCAUUCGUUUUUUAAUUGAAAACCAGAACAAAAGAUUAAACAUUUUAACUAAUCUCUCAAAUUUAAACCUUGAAUUUCUCUUAAAUGUUAAAAGACAUUUAUAAAAAAGAAAGACGAUAAGACCCUAUUGAACUUAACUAUAGUUUAACUGGGGCAGUUAAUCAAUUAACAUUUUAAUAUAAGUACUUAAUAAAAUGACCUAAUACAAUUAAUUAUAUAAUCAAGUUACCAUAGGGAUAACAGCGUAAUAAAUAUUUCAAGCUCAUAUUUAAAUAUAAGAUUGCGACCUCGAUGUUGAAUUAAUAUCCUUUAUCACGCAAAAGUAAUAUUUAUAAGGAAGUCUGUUCGACUUUUAAAAAAUUACA